UACGGAGGGUGCAAGCGUUGUCCGGAUUUAUUGGGUUUAAAGGGUGCGCAGGUGGGUUGGUAAGUCUGGUUUGAAAGUUGGUCGCUUAACGAUCAAGGGUGGCUGGAUACUGCUGAUCUUGAAUGGACUGGAGGGCGCUGGAACGGGUCGUGUAGCGGUGAAAUGCAUAGAUAUGACCCAGAACACCAAUUGCGAAGGCAGGCGCCUACGGUCUGAUUGACACUGAGGCACGAGAGCAUGGGGAGCGAACAGG
rnacentral:rRNA from 1 species